AUAGUUUUAGUUUAUAAAAAUAUUAAUUUGUCGGGUUAAAGAAGUGUAAAUAUACAUAAACUGUA
rnacentral:tRNA from 1 species